rnacentral:misc_RNA from 1 species
GCAAACUUGGUCAUUUAGAGGAAGUAAAAGUCGUAACAAGGUUUCCGUAGGUGAACCUGCGGAAGGAUCAUUCACAAUAAGAGUGUUUAUGGCACUCUUCCAAAAAAUCCAUACCCACCUUGUGUGCAAUGUAAGAAAAAAAGGAGUCGUCUUCUCGAGGGUCCCUGUUUGUGGGGGCUUUUUGGUAAGGAUGGCUUCCUUUUUUCUCAACCAUCAUACACCUUUCUAUCAGUUCCUAUUGUCUGAAGUAUUAGAAUUAUUAUAAAUUCAAAUAUAACUUUCAACAACGGAUCUCUUGGCUCUCGCAUCGAUGAAGAACGCAGC